rnacentral:rRNA from 1 species
CCUACGGGUGGCAGCAGUGAGGAAUAUUGGUCAAUGGACGAGAGUCUGAACCAGCCAAGUAGCGUGAAGGAUGACUGCCCUAUGGGUUGUAAACUUCUUUUGUCUGGGAAUAAAACGGUGUAUGCAUACCCUCUUGUAUGUACCAUAUGAAUAAGGCUCGGCUAACUCCGGUCCAACAGCCGCGGUAAUAAGGAGGAUCGGAGCGUUAUCCGGAUUUUUUGGGUUUAAAGGGAGCGUAGGUGGGAUGUUAAUGCAGUUGUGAAAGUUUGCGGGUCAACCGUAAAAUUGCCGUUGAAACUGGCAGUCUUGAGUACAGUAGAGGUGGGCGGAAUUCGUGGUGUAGCGGUGAAAUGCUUAGAUAUCACGAAGAACUCCGAUUGCGAAGGCAGCUCACCGGACUGCAACUGACACUGAUGCUCGAAAGUGUGGGUAUCAAACAGGAUUAGAUACCCCGGUAGUC